rnacentral:rRNA from 1 species
CAGCCGCCGCGGGAAUACGAAGGGUGCAAGCGUUACUCGGAAUUACUGGGCGUAAAGCGUGCGCAGGUGGUGGUUUAAGUCCGUUGUGAAAGCCCUGGGCUCAACCUGGGAAUUGCAGUGGAUACUGGGUCACUAGAGUGUGGUAGAGGAUAGUGGAAUUUCCGGUGUAGCAGUGAAAUGCGUAGAGAUCGGAAGGAACAUCUGUGGCGAAGGCGACUAUCUGGGCCAACACUGACACUGAGGCACGAAAGCGUGGGGAGCAAACAGGAUUAGAUACCCCCGUAGUCCCUGUCUCUUAUAC